GUCCAGAAUAGAAUUUUAGUUCAACUUUAAAUUUUCCUAAAGGACAUAAAACCCUAAUGAAAAUUUAAAUGUUACUCUAAAGAGGGACAGCUCUUUAGAUAUAGGAUACAGCCUUUUAUAAAGAGUAAGUUAUUUUUCAAUCCAUAGUUGGCUUAAAAGCAGCCAUCAAUUAAGAAAGCGUUAAAGCUCAACAACUAAAAACCAACUUAAUAAGAAUAUUUUAAAACGAACUCUUAUAAACCCUAACUGGACUAAUCUAUAAAUCUAUAGAAGAAAUAAUGCUAAUAUAAGUAACAAGAAUACUAUUCUCCUUGCACAAGCUUAUAUCAGAUCGGAUGCCCACUGAUAGUUAACAGCCCCAAUAGAAAUAAUCCACAAAUUAAUAAUCUAUUAACUUUCACUGUUAACCCAACACAGGAGUGCUAUAUAGGAAAGAUUAAAAGAAGAAAAAGGAACUCGGCAAACCCUAACCCCGCCUGUUUACCAAAAACAUCACCUCUAGCAUUACUAGUAUUAGAGGCACUGCCUGCCCAGUGACGUACGUUCAACGGCCGCGGUAUCCUGACCGUGCAAAGGUAGCAUAAUCACUUGUUCCUUAAUUGGGGACUAGCAUGAAUGGCAACACGAGGGUUAAACUGUCUCUUUCUUCCAAUCAGUGAAAUUGACCUCCCCGUGAAGAGGCGGGGAUAAAAUAAUAAGACGAGAAGACCCUAUGGAGCUUUAAUUAUUUAACCCAACACUUCCUUUAUUCUACUCUACAAUGAGCCUAACCAAGGAAAUCCCUGGGUUAAAAAUUUUGGUUGGGGUGACCUCGGAGUAUAAAUCAACCUCCGAAUGAUUUUAGCCUAGACCCAACAAGUCAAAGCAAUUAUAAUCAUAAAUUGACCCAAAUAAUUUGAUCAACGGAACAAGUUACCCUAGGGAUAACAGCGCAAUCCUAUUUUAGAGUCCCUAUCGACAAUAGGGUUUACGACCUCGAUGUUGGAUCAGGACAUCCCAAUGGUGUAGCCGCUAUUAAAGGUUCGUUUGUUCAACGAUUAAAG
rnacentral:rRNA from 1 species